GCUCCGGUAGUGUAGCUCGGCCAAUCAUUUGGGACUCUCACUCCCAAGACUGGGGUUCAAAUCCCCACCGGAGCA
rnacentral:tRNA from 1 species